GACGAACCGUGCGAACGUUGUUCGGAAUCACUGGGCUUAAAGGGCGCGUAGGCGGACCAUCAAGUCCGUGGUGAAAUCCCCCGGCUCAACCGGGGAAGUGCUGCGGAUACUGGUGGUCUCGAGUGGGGUAGGGGCAUGUGAAACUUCCGGUGGAGCGGUGAAAUGCGUAGAUAUCGGAAGGAACGCCGGUGGCGAAAGCGACACGCUGGACCUUUUCUGACGCUGAGGCGCGAAAGCCAGGGGAGCAAACGGG
rnacentral:rRNA from 1 species